rnacentral:sRNA from 1 species
UAUCGAUAUGUUUAUUGAGA